rnacentral:rRNA from 1 species
UACGUAGGGGGCAAGCGUUGUCCGGAAUCAUUGGGCGUAAAGCGCGUGUAGGCGGUUCGGUAAGUCUGCUGUGAAAGUCCAGGGCUCAACCCUGGGAUGCCGGUGGAUACUGUCGGACUAGAGUACGGAAGAGGAGAGUGGAAUUCCUGGUGUAGCGGUGAAAUGCGCAGAUAUCAGGAAGAACACCCGUGGCGAAGGCGGCUCUCUGGGACGGUACUGACGCUGAGACGCGAAAAGCGUGGGGAGCGAACAGG